GACGAACGCUGGCGGCGUGCCUAAUACAUGCAAGUCGAACGCAGUGGGGACGGGUGAGUAAAACGUGGGUAACAUGCCAUAAGAGGGGAUAACAUGUGGAAACAGGUGCACAACCGAUACGGAUGGAUGGACGCGCGGUGCAUUAGCUAGUUGGGGGGGUAACGGCUCACCAAGGCAACGAGGCGUAGCCGGUCUGAGAGGGCGACCGGCCACACUGGGACUGAGACACGGCCCAGACUCCUACGGGAGGCAGCAGUAGGGAAUUUUCGGCAAUGGACGAAAGUCUGAUCCAGCCACGCCGCGUGAGUGAAGAAGGUUUUCGGAUCGUAAAGCACUUUUAUUAGAGAGGCGGUAUCUAACCAAAAAGCACCGGCUAACUACGUGCCAGCAGCCGCGGUAAUUC
rnacentral:rRNA from 1 species